rnacentral:rRNA from 1 species
UACGUAGGUGGCAAGCGUUGUCCGGAUUUAUUGGGUUUAAAGGGUGCGUAAGCGGUCCCAUAAGUCAGUGCUGAAAUAUCCCGGCUUAACCGGGAGGGUGGCAUUGAUACUGCGGGACUUGAGUGGAGUUGAAGUGGGCGGAAUUGACGGUGUAGCGGUGAAAUGCUUAGAUAUCGUCAAGAACACCGAUAGUGAAGACAGCUCACUAAGCUCAAACUGACGCUGAGGCACGAAAGUGUGGGGAUCAAACAGGA